rnacentral:rRNA from 1 species
AGCGAACGCUGGCGGCAGGCCUAACACAUGCAAGUCGAACGAACUCUUCGGAGUUAGUGGCGGACGGGUGAGUAACACGUGGGAACGUGCCUUUUGGUUCGGAAUAACUCAGGGAAACUUGUGCUAAUACCGAAUGUGCCCUUCGGGGGAAAGAUUUAUCGCCAUUAGAGCGGCCCGCGUCUGAUUAGCUAGUUGGUGAGGUAACGGCUCACCAAGGCGACGAUCAGUGGCUGGUCUGAGAGGAUGACCAGCCACACUGGGACUGAGACACGGCCCAGACUCCUACGGGAGGCAGCAGUGGGGAAUCUUGCGCAAUGGGCGAAAGCCUGACGCAGCCAUGCCGCGUGAAUGAUGAAGGUCUUAGGAUUGUAAAAUUCUUUCACCGGGGACGAUAAUGACGGUACCCGGAGUAGAAGCCCCGGCUAACUUCGUG